CUUGCCUGCUCGUGGUGCUUGGCGGGGGGCAGGGCGCAGGGAGGCUUGGGCAGGCGGAGGCGCGCGGGGCAGCAGUACUGAUGAAAACCAACAGAGAAGCUUUGACUGAAGGAAAGACGAACAUUUACAUGUUUCCACUAAGAAUCAAAGGAUGAAACAAGAAGAUUUUUCAGCCAGACAUGAAACACAAAGAUACCACAGAGCCUCUCAGCUGGUUACAGAGGUCAAAGUCCAUCUAGAGCAGCAGAAACGUUUCUCCUUCCAGUUGAUCCCAUCUGAAGCGACGGCCUGAUGAUCCGCCGCCGCGAGGCUCAGCUUCCAUCGCCAUGCCGACCAGCUGCAGGACUGAGGUGACCCUGAUGCCAGAGAAAACAGCCGCUAUCCACUUCCUGCUGAAUCUGUAACGCCGUCAUCCUGUAGCAAGUCCAACCAGACGCUUUAAAAUGCUUUCAAACUUAUGAAUGGUUUGAAUGGGCCUAGUCAAAGUCUGGACU